rnacentral:rRNA from 1 species
CCUACGGGUGGCUGCAGUGGGGAAUAUUGGACAAUGGGGGCAACCCUGAUCCAGCCAUGCCGCGUGUGUGAAGAAGGCCCUCGGGUUGUAAAGCACUUUCAGUGAGGAAGAACGCCUGGUGGUUAAUACCCAUCAGGAAAGACAUCACUCACAGAAGAAGCACCGGCUAACUCCGUGCCAGCAGCCGCGGUAAUACGGAGGGUGCGAGCGUUAAUCGGAAUUACUGGGCGUAAAGCGCGCGUAGGUGGCUUGAUAAGCCGGGUGUGAAAGCCCCGGGCUCAACCUGGGAACGGCAUCCGGAACUGUCAAGCUAGAGUGCAGGAGAGGAAGGUAGAAUUCCCGGUGUAGCGGUGAAAUGCGUAGAGAUCGGGAGGAAUACCAGUGGCGAAGGCGGCCUUCUGGACUGACACUGACACUGAGGUGCGAAAGCGUGGGUAGCAAACAGGAUUAGAUACCCUGGUAGUC